rnacentral:tRNA from 1 species
GGGGCAUUAACUCAGUUGGCUAGAGUGUCACACUGGCAGUGUGGAAGUCAUCGGUUCAAGUCCGAUAUGCUCCACAA